rnacentral:rRNA from 1 species
GACGAACCGUGCGAACGUUAUUCGGAAUCACUGGGCUUAAAGCGCGUGUAGGCGGGAGGGCACGUCCGUCGCUGAAAUCCCCCGGCUCAACCGGGGAACGGGCGCGGAUACGGCCCGCCUGGAGGAACGUAGGGGGAGCUGGAACUUCCGGUGGAGCGGUGAAAUGCGUUGAGAUCGGAAGGAACGCCCGUGGCGAAAGCGAGGUCCUGGACGUCUACUGACGCUGAGACGCGAAAGCUAGGGGAGCGAACGGG